rnacentral:tRNA from 1 species
GACUCUUCUAUUUGGUAGUUCUUGCCUUGAAAGUGAGAUAAGGGCAAAUAUAUGUCCAAGAGUUU